rnacentral:rRNA from 1 species
UGAACGCUAGCUACAGGCUUUAACACAUGCAAGUCGAGGGGCAGCAUAUUGAUAGCUUGCUAUCAGUGAUGGCGACCGGCGCACGGGUGAGUAACGCGUAUCCAACCUGCCUGUCACUCAGGAAUAGCCCGGUGAAAACCGGAUUAAGUCCUGAUGAUAUCAUUAGAGGGCAUCUGACGAUGACGAAAGGUUUAGCGGUGAAGGAUGGGGAUGCGUCUGAUUAGCUUGUUGGUGAGGUAACGGCUCACCAAGGCGACGAUCAGUAGGGGUUCUGAGAGGAAGGUCCCCCACAUUGGAACUGAGACACGGUCCAAACUCCUACGGGAGGCAGCAGUGAGGAAUAUUGGUCAAUGGACGAGAGCCUGAACCAGCCAAGUAGCGUGCAGGACGACGGCCCUAUGGGUUGUAAACUGCUUUUAUAAGGGAAUAAAGUGAGUCUCGUGAGACUUUUUGCAUGUACCUUAUGAAUAAGGACCGGCUAAUUCCGUG